GGUUCCUUAGAUCGUACAUGCUACAUGGAUAACUGUAGUAAUUCUAGAGCUAAUACAUGCCACUAUGCCCUGACCCGAAAGGGAACGGGUGGAUUUAUUAGAACAGAACCAACCGGGAGUGGCUUCGGCCGCUCCUGUUGCACUCUGUGAUGACUCUGGAUAACUUUACUGAUCGCAGUCGGCCUUGGGUCGGCGACGGAUCUUUCAAAUGUCUGCCCUAUCAACUUUCGAUGGUAGGUGAUCUGCCUACCAUGGUGAUAACGGGUAACGGGGAAUCAGGGUUCGAUUCCGGAGAGGGAGCCUGAGAAACGGCUACCACAUCCAAGGAAGGCAGCAGGCGCGAAAAUUACCCACUCCCGGCACGGGGAGGUAGUGACGAAAAAUACGAAUACGGGACUCACUCGAGGCUCCGUAAUUCGAAUGAGUACAAUCUAAAUCCUUUAACGAGGACCAAUUGGAGGGCAAGUCUGGUGCCAGCAGCCGCGGUAACUCCAGCUCCAAAAGCGUAUAUUAAAGUUGCUGCAGUUAAAAAGCUCGUAGUUGGAUCUGGGUCGCGCGAUUACGUGUCGUUGCGUGGUUCUGAUUUCGGUCAGUUCCAUGUGAUGAUGAGGUGGUCGUGCAGCCUUUCAGCCGUGUCUGCGUGAGCAGGUGUUGGCUAGUCGGUGGGCUUGCUCGCUGGCUAGUUGGCAUGUUUC
rnacentral:rRNA from 1 species